UACCAGCUCUCCGAGUGGUAGGGAUGAUUAUUGGGCUUAAAGCGUCCGUAGCCGGCUUAGCAAGUCUCCUGUUAAAUUCAGCGACCUAAUCGUUGAGCCGCGGGAGAUACUACUAGGCUAGAAGGCGGGAGAGGUCAACGGUACUUCCGGGGUAGGGGUGAAAUCCUAUAAUCCCGGGAGGACCACCAGUGGCGAAGGCUGUUGACUAGAACGCGCUCGACGGUGAGGGACGAAAGCUGGGGGAGCGAACCGGAUUAGAUACCCGGGUAGUCCCAGCUGUAAACGAUGCGAGCUAGGUGUUGGGGUGGCUACGUGCCACUUCAGUGCCGCAGGGAAGCCAUUGAGCUCGCCGCCUGGGGAGUACGGCCGCAAGGCUGAAACUUAAAGGAAUUGGCGGGGAGCACCACAAGGCGUGAAGCUUGCGGUUC
rnacentral:rRNA from 1 species